GACGAACGCUGGCGGCGUGCUUAACACAUGCAAGUCGAACGGUGAAGGUGGGAGCUUGCUCCUGCUGGAUCAGUGGCGAACGGGUGAGUAACACGUGAGUAACCUGCCCUUGACUCUGGGAUAAGCGUUGGAAACGACGUCUAAUACCGGAUACGAGCUUCAGCCGCAUGGCUAGGAGUUGGAAAGAUUUUUCGGUUAAAGAUGGACUCGCGGCCUAUCAGCUUGUUGGUGAGGUAAUGGCUCACCAAGGCGACGACGGGUAGCCGGCGUGAGAGAGUGACCGGCCACACUGGGACUGAGACACCGCCCAGACUCCUACGGGAGGCAGCAGUGGGGAAUAUUGCACAAUGGGCGCAAGCCUGAUGCAGCAACGCCGCGUGAGGGACGACGGCCUUCGGGUUGUAAACCUCUUUUAGCAGGGAAGAAGCGCAAGUGACGGUACCUGCAGAAAAAGCACCGGCUAACUACGUGCCAGCCGCCGCAGUAA
rnacentral:rRNA from 1 species